rnacentral:lncRNA from 10 species
GACAGGAUGCAAAGGUGAAAGUGAACUGCAGUACUUCCCAAACAGUGCAACUGUCUGUAAUGGAAACAUAUUCCUCACUGCUUUAGCUUUUAAAUGUAAAUGUAAAUGAAAACUAAAAGUUCAGUUCCUCAGUUGUACCAGUUACAUUUCCAGUGACUACCAUACUGGACAAUGCCGAUCUGGGCAUACCCCCUCCCUACGUAUACUUACGCCCCUUCCAUGCACACAGCAGAUGAGUUUUCACAUGGCUUCAUUGACAUGCAAAGUGAUUUUCUCUUUUCCUUUUCUUUCUUUCUUUUUUUUUUUUUUUUUUAAUGGGAUUUUGCUCUGUUGCCCAGGCUGGAGUGCAGUGGCAUGAUCAUAGCUCACUGCAGCCUCAAACUCCUGAGCUCCAGCGAUCCUCCCAAAUCGCUGGGACUACAGGUGUGCAGCACCAUGCCCAGCUAAUUAAAAAAAUUUUUUUUUUUUUUUGUAGAGAAAAAAUAGAGAAAACUAUGUUGCCUAGGCUGGUCUCAGACUUCUGGGCUCAAGCGAUCCUCUUGCCUCAACCUACUAAGAUGCUACAAUUACAGGCGUAAGCCUCUGCCCCCAGCCUACAAGCUCCAUGGAACGUGAGAGCGAAAGCCUGCAGCCAUCUCGCCCCCUGGCUCCUCGUCCCUCUAGGUACCCAGUGAGUCAGGACAACCCUGUGCUCUCCUCACCUGCUCCUCACAGCAGCUGCAGGCACCCUCCUUGGACACCGCUGUCUUCCCUGGACCAAGGUCAUGGCUGGUCUGUUCAUCUCACAGCUCAUAUGACCACACCUGCAGCAGCGGAGGUAGGUGUAGAAUUGUGGCACCUCAGAUGGAGCCAAAGUGGGGAGCACUUACCUAAAACAAGACUGUUUUAGGUGGAUGUAGCCAUAUGAUUGUGGGCAUGUUAUGUAACCACUUCAUGCUUCAGUUUCCUCAUCUGUAAAAUGGGGAUAAUAAAGCAUCUGCCUCACAAAGUGACUGAGGAGGGGAAAUGAGUUCAUAUGCGUACAAGGCAUGAGUUCAACGUUUGUGAGCUACCAUUGUCAUGAAAACCAAUUUUAGCAUUUUAUUUGCAGCUGUGAGUUUAUUUUACACUUGAUCUUAGCCAGAAUGCUAAGAAGUGAUGGUUAUGAGUUUAUUUUAAUAUGACCUACAGAAAAUUUAAAAUGACCUACGGAAAAUUACAAUCAAGCUCAUAAUUUGGCAGACCUUAUUGUUUAGGUCAAAGCUAAGUAAACAAAUCAAUGUAAACAUAUUUAAAGAACAUAAAUAAAUACUAGUGUAGGUGAUAGGCUAGUGUGUCAUGAAUUGCCAAGAUGGGGCACACAGACUAUUUGGGAGCUAUUGAUCUAGUCUGAGCCCUCUAGUUCUAUAAGGAGGAAACUCUAAACAGGAAGUAGUGAGCUGAGACCUUGGUCAACAAUGUAGUCACCGGCUGGGUUGGGACCAGACAGUUGCCCCAUGCCCUGUCCUCCCUGUCCUGUCAUUCUGCCCCCUCAACAGACUCAUCAAGGUCACAUUUAAAUAAGUACACACAAAAGCAGCUUAUGCAUAGACAGCUUGUCAUCAGACAGGAUCACACGUAACACCCAGGUCAAAUCCUCUGCCAUGUCAAACAAGAUAAUCCCAUGGAGUAAAAGCAACUCCUUUACAAAACAGGGUCAGGUGCUACUUUCUGACUCCAGGGUCAGAGAGGCUGGUGGAACUGGCUUCUCUGGCUCUGCCACUUCUUAACUGCGUGCUAUGAUUUGGAUGUUCAUUCCCCCAAAUCUCAUGCUGAAAUUGGAUCCCAGUGGUGGAGGUAAGGCCUAGUGGGAGGUGUUUGGAUCAUGGGGUGGAUCCCUCAUGAAUGGCUUGGUAACCUAUCCCUCAAGAGCUGGUUGUCAAAAGGAGCUUGGCACCUCCCCUCUCUCUCUUGCUCCCUCUCACACCAUGGGAUCUCUGAACAUGCCAGCUCCUCUUUGCCCUCUACCAUGAGUGGAAGCAGCCUGAAGCCCUCACCAGUAGCCAGUGCUAGUACCAUGUUUCUUGUAUAGCCUGCAGAACCAUGAGCCAAAUAAACCGCUUUUCUGUAUAAAUUACCCAGCCUCGCAUAUUACUUUAUAGCAAUACAAACAGAUUAACACACCAUGUAACCUUGGAAAUGUUGCUUAAUCUCUCUGUGCUUCUGUUUUCAGAUGUACAAACUGAGAUAAGAGGUGGUAAAUCUAGUGCACAGAAUGUGAGGAUUAAAUGUGAGUUUCCUUUCUUCUUCCUCUAAGAGCAAGAGCAAGUACCUCCCGCCAAAGAUAUGGGAGAAUCCUUACGUAGGAAGCUCUUUAUCUAUCUGUGAGUUCACCCAUCACUCUCUGACUACAAAACCUUCAGCCACUCCCUGUUUCUUACCACUGCAAAUCUGCAGGCCUCAACAAUGUGGCCCCUUCCCAUCAAGCCAACUUUAUCUCCUUGGUCCCUAACACUUGUCCUAGCAUAUCCCAUGCUCCCUCAUGGCCCCAUGGACAAGAUGCAUCCAUACUGACUCCCAACCCCUGUACCAUUUUCUUCCCCACAUUGGUGUAUAGACUGAUCUUGCAAAAACCCACAUCUAAUU